UACGUAGGGUGCGAGCGUUAAUCGGAAUUACUGGGCGUAAAGCGUGCGCAGGCGGUUCGUUGUGUCGGUGGUGAAAUCCCCGGGCUUAACCUGGGAAUGGCCAUGGAAACUGGCGAACUGGAGUGCGGCAGAGGGGGGUGGAAUUCCUGGUGGUAGCAGUGAAAUGCGUAGAUAUCAGGAGGAACACCGAUGGCGAAGGCAGGUCUCUGG
rnacentral:rRNA from 1 species